rnacentral:rRNA from 1 species
CCCUUAGAUGUUCUGGGCCGCACGCGCGCUACACUGACGAAGUCAGCGAGCAUGUCCUACGCCGACAGGUGCGGGGAAUCUUGUCAAACUUCGUCGUGAUGGGGAUUGAUUUUUGAAAUUCUUGAUCAUAAACGAGGAAUUCCUAGUAAGCGCAAGUCAGCAGCUUGCGUUGAUUACGUCCCUGCCCUUUGUACACACCGCCCGUCGCUACUACCGAUUGAAUGGUUUAGUGAGAUCUUCGGAUUGGCGCCACUGCAGCUCAGCAAUGGGCUUGGUGGAUGCCGGAAAGUUGAUCAAACUUGAUCAUUUAGAGGAAGUAAAAGUCGUAACA